GUCUGGGGACGUGGAGGGUGAGGGGUCUGGGGGAGUUUGCUGAAGCACCCAGGGAGUGAGGAACGGACACGGGUGAGCAGACCAGACCAGCCAGGUAACAACGCAGAAAACCCUAUAAAACAGAACCUACAGCAUCCAGGCCUUCCCUAUGUGGGUUUUACUAUACAAUUCUUAGGAAAAAAACAAUGUACGGUAUAAGGUUUGAAAUGGAAAAAGAAAUCACUGACUACACAGAAAAUGUAUAAAGAAGGCCAAAAAGUAAGAGAAUCUAUAGAAACAGGCUCAGCCAUUGAGAGGCACCAGCGAAUUCUGGGUGAACCCGGGAUGGGCGGCAGGGGGCGGGGGGGCCCAAGUCUGCAUCUUUGUCUGCGUCUCCCCGGCCUCGGGGGUGGGACUGAACCCGCACCCAUGUCUGCAUCUCCCGGGCCUCGGGGGUGGGACUGAACCCGAACCCGUGUCUGCGUCUCCCCCGCUUAGGGGGUGAGACUGAACCCGCACCUGUGUCUGUGUCUCCCCCACUUAGGGGGUGGGACUGAACCUGCACCGUGUCUGUCUCUGGUCACUGAACCUGCACCGUGUCUGCGUCUCUGGUCACUGAAUCUGCACAAACAAGGGCUGCUGUUUGAACAGCAACAAAGCUUGGCUUCCUCAUCUAAAAUUUCACUUUUAAAAUAUCAAAGCACUUACAAAAAGAAACCGGCACGGCUGCUCCUGCCGGGCUGGUCCCGACACCUCUUCCUAUUGCUUGCGCUGGCAGAGGUCAGGCUGCUGACGCUGUGCUCUUCCCACAUGCCCCAACAAUGGGGCAUGGGAGCCAGCAGCGCCAGGGAGAGAAACCAGAUUCUGAAGGUGCCAGGUCAGCCGGUGGCCACAACCGACCCUGCUAACACCAAAAGCACUUGUGGCCUCUGCUGUGUGCACAAGUCAGGAUGCACAGGCCUCUACCCGGCAGGGAAGCCACACAGGGCAGCGUGAGGACGACAACAGCUCACCCUGCCAGACAGCGACCGCCUCUGCUGGACAAGCGGAGAGGAGGACCACCGCAACAGCUGCUUUUACGUGUCUCUCCAUCAUUGUGAUCAAGCAAACGGCUUAAAGAGGGUCCUGGUGGUUUGUACCGACAGCCCCGGCUACUCAGGAGGCUGAGGUGGGAGGACUGAGCCCAGUAGCUGAAGACUAGCCUGAGCAACAUAGCAAGAUCCCAACUCUAAAAAAAAAAAUUCUCCUUAAGACACUGCUUUAGGAGGAA
rnacentral:lncRNA from 13 species